UGUGCUAAUACCGCAUAAUCUCUCAGGAGAAAAGCAGGGGAUCGCAAGACCUUGCGCUUUAGGAGCGGCCGAUGCCUGAUUAGCUUGUUGGUAAGGUAAAAGCUUACCAAGGCUUCGAUCAGUAGCUGGUCUGAGAGGACGACCAGCCACACUGGGACUGAGACACGGCCCAGACUCUUACGGGAGGCAGCAGUGGGGAAUUUUGGACAAUGGGGGAAACCCUGAUCCAGCCAUGCCGCGUGAGUGAAGAAGGCCUUCGGGUUGUAAAGCUCUUUCAGCCGGAACGAAACGGU
rnacentral:rRNA from 1 species